rnacentral:rRNA from 1 species
AGAGUUUGAUCAUGGCUCAGGACGAACGCUGGCGGCACGCUUAACACAUGCAAGUCGAACGAGAGAAGAGGAGCUUGCUUUUCUGAUCUAGUGGCGGACGGGUGAGUAACACGUGAGCAAUAUGCCUUUCAGAGGGGGAUACCGAUUGGAAACGAUCGUUAAUACCGCAUAACAUAAUUGAACCGCAUGAUUUGAUUAUCAAAGAUUUAUCGCUGAAAGAUGAGCUCGCGUCUGAUUAGCUAGUUGGUAAGAUAACGGCUUACCAAGGCGACGAUCAGUAGCCGGACUGAGAGGUUGAUCGGCCACAUUGGGACUGAGACACGGCCCAGACUCCUACGGGAGGCAGCAGUGGGGAAUAUUGCACAAUGGAGGAAACUCUGAUGCAGCGAUGCCGCGUGAGGGAAGAAGGUUUUAGGAUUGUAAACCUCUGUCUUCAGGGACGAAAAAAGACGGUACCUGAGGAGGAAGCUCCGGCUAACUACGUGCCAGCAGCCGCGGUAAUACGUAGGGAGCGAGCGUUGUCCGGAAUUACUGGGUGUAAAGGGAGCGUAGGCGGGAUCGCAAGUCAGAUGUGAAAACUAUGGGCUUAACCCAUAAACUGCAUUUGAAACUGUGGUUCUUGAGUGAAGUAGAGGUAAGCGGAAUUCCUAGUGUAGCGGUGAAAUGCGUAGAUAUUAGGAGGAACAUCAGUGGCGAAGGCGGCUUACUGGGCUUUAACUGACGCUGAGGCUCGAAAGCGUGGGGAGCAAACAGGAUUAGAUACCCUGGUAGUCCGCGCCGUAAACGAUGAUUACUAGGUGUGGGGGGACUGACCCCUUCCGUGCCGCAGCAAACGCAAUAAGUAAUCCACCUGGGGAGUACGACCGCAAGGUUGAAACUCAAAGGAAUUGACGGGGGCCCGCACAAGCAGUGGAGUAUGUGGAUUAAUUCGAAGCAACGCGAAGAACCUUACCAGGUCUUGACAUCGUAUGCAUAGCUCAGAGAUGAGUGAAAUCUCUUCGGAGACAUAUAGACAGGUGGUGCAUGGUUGUCGUCAGCUCGUGUCGUGAGAUGUUGGGUUAAGUCCCGCAACGAGCGCAACCCUUACUGUUAGUUGCUACGCAAGAGCACUCUAGCAGGACUGCCGUUGACAAAACGGAGGAAGGUGGGGAUGACGUCAAAUCAUCAUGCCCCUUAUGACCUGGGCCUCACACGUACUACAAUGGCUGUCAACAGAGGGAAGCAAAGCCGCGAGGUGGAGCGAACCCCUAAAAGCAGUCUUAGUUCGGAUUGUAGGCUGCAACCCGCCUACAUGAAGUCGGAAUUGCUAGUAAUCGCAGAUCAGCAUGCUGCGGUGAAUACGUUCCCGGGCCUUGUACACACCGCCCGUCACGCCAUGGGAGUCGGUAACACCCGAAGCCUGUAGUCUAACCGCAAGGAGGACGCAGUCGAAGGUGGGAUUGAUGACUGGGGUGAAGUCGUAACAAGGUA